AUUGAACGCUAGCGGGAUGCCUUACACAUGCAAGUCGAACGGAGUGGCGAACGGGUGAGUAAUGUAUCGGAACGUGCCCAGUAGCGGGGGAUAACUACGCGAAAGCGUAGCUAAGACCGCAUACGAUUGGCGCGGCCGUAAGCGGAUUAGCUAGUUGGUGGGGUAACGGCUUACCAAGGCGACGAUCCAUAGCAGGUUUGAGAGGACGACCAGCCACACUGGGACUGAGACACGGCCCAGACUCCUACGGGAGGCAGCAGUGGGGAAUGUUGGGCAAUGGGGGAAACCCUGAUCCAGCAAUCCCGCGUGUGCGAUGAAGGCCUUCGGGUUGUAAAGCACUUUUGGCAGGAAAGCGGUACCUGCCGAAUAAGCAACGGCUAACUACGUGCCAGCCGCCGCGGUAAUUC
rnacentral:rRNA from 1 species